UUGGAAGGGAACAAAGGAGUUUCUGUUGAAAUACCAAAGCCCAAAGAUGCCACUUCAAAGAGAGCUUACUCGACCAUCUUUGGACUUAUAAAUAAGUUUGUACAGUCAUCGUUGUCAUCAUGAUCAACUGAACAACUGCCCCUGAUGACCCAUCACUACGGAAGAUCAACAUCUGCACUAUGUGCAGUGCUGGACUCAUAGUGAUACAGCCAAGAUAUUUGAAGAGAUUUUUUGUUUCACCUACUUUUCAGCACCUUCUGGUGGAAGGACCAGCCUUCAGAAAGGUCCACAGAAUUAGUUGGAUACCUUCCUCUUCUGAUACACUAGCACAAAGUUGUGGAUAACUCAGUUGAUAGCAGACUCAUUUCUUUAGCAUGCUUAAGCAGCUGGACUGCAAUUUAAGCAUCAACAGAGAUAUUUAGGAGACAAAAUACCUAUGAAUUCUGGAUAACUAACUCAUUUUCAACUCAAGGUCAAAAUGGUUGUAAAAAAUCAACAAAUGUCUUUUAAUUUUCUUUGAGAAAGCAUCUUCCUAGUUGGACAUAAGUAAAUUUACACAGAAGUGACCUCUGACUUAUAGUUGGAACUAAGAUCAUGAACCAUACUGGUGUGCUUAAGAUGACAAAAUUACAGGCUGUAUGCUGUAGUUUGAUGUGGCAUGCAGUUCUGCACCCACAGACAUUCACUUACUCCUUUCUCCCAGUGGGAUGGGGAGAGAGCUGGAAAGGUAAAACCCAAGUACAAUUCAUGGGCUGAGAUAAAAACCGUUGAAACCAGAACAGUGAUAAUUUUUCAGUGUUAAUAGUGACAGGAUAAAGCAAGACUUUGAUCAAACUGCACAGAGUGUGAAAAACAUAUUAUUUAGUGGAAAAAAAAAAUUAUCAAGAGCCUUGAAUGUGAGUCAAAUUCUUCAAAGGAUACUUUCAGAAUGUAAGGAGAAUUGACUACCAAUAUUCUUCAGGAAGGUGAAGAAUCAAUGGGGAAAAUAACAUUGUCAGAAGUCUUUUGACUUACCAGCUUUCAAUCUUACUUCUAUUUUUGUCUGAUUGCAUGUUGGGUGUUUAUUCCUUUGUUUUUCUUCAUCUCUUCUGUGCAUCUGGAGAAUACUUUAAAAAGUAUCUGUUGAAUUUAAGGCAACCUUCAAGAAUAAAUUAAUAAUUACUUUGUAUAUUGAAAUACAUAGAAUGUAUUUACUGAUAGAACAUUAUAAGUUACUCAAACAGGUACAGUUAUAAAUUAGUGUUUGAGAUUGAUCAAAUGCAAAUUGCUACUCCAGGGCACUUCUUAGUUAUAAAUCUACUACAUCCUGGAAACUGAAUUAUUUGAGAACAGUCAGUUCUCAAAAUACUUUACAUUUUGGGGAAGAAAAUAUUUUUAUGAUUUUGGAAUUUAUCGCACUUGUGAAUUAUUUUAAUUGAAAGGUAUUUCUUGAAAUUGUUUCUUCUUAUAUUUUACUAAAUCUUUAUUUUUUUAUAUUUACUUGGAAGCCAAGGAAGCUGACUCUUUUUGUCACUGCUGCUUUCAAUAACAAAGGUAGUUUAACUUCAAAAUUACAUCCAUCAAUUGGAACCUCAGAGUUCGCCACUGAUAUAUACUAGAGCUGGCUGGUAUUAUAGACUCCAGAAAAAUUGCUAAAGUAAUUCUAGUAGCAAGCCUUUCAACAUAACAUUAUCUCAGACAAAACAAUUAUUUUUAACUCCAUGUUUUUCUUGCUUGUUUGUUUGUUUUCCUUCACAAAGAUCUUUUUGUGAACAGUUACGGAAAACAAAGAAAGGAAGAGAGAAGCACCUGCUCUUACGAAAGUCUGUAGCUCCUCACCAAUUAACUCAUAUGAGAGAAUAUGGGUGCAAUUUGCUUUGCAUUACUUUUUAUUUUUUUAUUUUUUUUCCCACUGUCAAUAGAGGCUGCAGAACUGAAGAACUGAGAGACUACAGCUUUUCCAGCUUUGAAGAUUUGAAAUAACACUGCUCAUUCUGUCUUUAAAAAAAAAAGAAAAAAAAAGACAACAACAACAACAAAAAUUGUCCAGAAGGAGAGAGGAGAGAGUUGUGGUUGUUAAUCUUUUCUGAAAGGUGUUUUCUCCCUGGAGCUCUUAAGGAGCUACAGGAAGUGUUUCAUUUAGGACUCUUGUUUCCAACUUUUCAUCUCGUGGUAUUGGAGCAUGCCAUCUCUAUUUAGUUACCACACUGCCUGAAGUCGUUAUAAAGUUCCUGCCUCUUCUCAUGCACUGUAUGAGGAAAUCAAAUGUCAAACAUAUCUUGGGUAUGUUAUCAUCUCAACAAUCAAAGUCCACAUAUGCACGUUUUCAUCUUUGCUGGUUUAAAACUGUAAAUAUUUCCCAAGGUAUGCAUUUAAAGGAAACAAGAUCUUACCCCUUAAUAAACCUGAUUUUAACAGAGUGAUCAAAACUGGACCUGUGAGAUUAAUACUCAUAUGGAAUGUCAGUCAUGUUAAAUGACUCCACUGAUCAGCUUAUUGUAGCUCUCUGUGCUGAGGUUGUGAACACAAAGAACAGUUAUGUCCUUAUAUCUCUUUUCCUGUUAAAAAAAUGAAAGAGGGAAAAAUAUUAGAAUAUUUCUUUUUUACUAUCUCUGAUCAUCAAGUUCAAAAAUCAGAAUUAACUCUGAUGCCUGCAAUGAAGAAACUCUCAUUUUUCAGAUAAGAGUCACAUAUUUUAUCUCUUCAACUCACCAAUGAGUAUAUGCAAAAUAAAUAAAUAAAUAAAUAAUUGACAAAGAGGGGAACUGGGAUUGGAUUUGAAAUUUUUGAUCUAAAGAUAAAGCCUAUGAAAAUUCUGAAGAAGAAAAUCUAGGUUAUUUUCCAGUUCAAAAUCAGAAUGAAUCACAGCCCUUUUGAAUUCUUACGAAGAAUAUAUAGAGGUUUCUUCAGGAAUAAAGAGCUGUCCUUUCACUUCAGGUACAGGAUGUUCGCCUAUUUUUGACACAGGGGCAUCUAUGAAGGUAAUGCCAUGUACUAUUGUACAUAAACAUCUCAGUGAAUUUUGAUGCUUACUUGGAGACUAUAUGCAAAUUGGCAGAAUUAUAACAGCUGCAUCUAACUCCGUACUUCUGAUGAAGAUACCCUUAAUUCAAAGGCGCUGCAGCUGUCAGAAUAAAAUGUUAAUGGUGGUAGAAGUACCAAAUUCCUAUACAAAUAUAUUUUUAACUCAGCAUUUUAGAAAUAUAUGAUUUAUAGGGGAAAAACUGAAGCAGGCCAAAAAUAAGUUUAUGUUGCUGAAUAUGACAUUUUGUGGUGUUUAAAUCUGCUCAAUACGGAGAUGGAAUACUUUAAAAAAAAAGAAAAAAAAAAGAGAAUAUAUACCUUUAAGACCAAAAACACAAUUAAAAAAGCCUUCUAAAUAAUAUAUCUUGAUGAUAAUAAUAUUUUUAGUUCUGUCUGUUCAGACAAAAGACAAAAUAUUUUUUUGUUGUUAUAAGUGAGUGUCACAUUUUAUGACCAAACCAAAAGCAUAGAAAGAGAACCUUUCAGGGUUUUUUUUGGUUUUUUUUUUUUUGAGAUUUUCUAAAGCCGGUAUCAAAGGAAGGGAAUGUAACGUAUGAGUAAGGAAAAGACCCUUUGUGGAUUACAAUUUCCCCCAGUAAGCAGAGGCAUUACAUGCCCCAAAGUUCUUGUUAUUUUCAUAUCUGCAAAUAAAAGUGAUGAAAUAAAAUAAAUUGCUAUUUCUCUUGCUGACUUCGUGUAAUCCAUCCUUCAUCUCAGGACUUCACUUCUUCCUCAAGAUCAACCAGUCCAUACUGUAUUUCUCAAGGUUAGACUUUGCAUUUGGAGCUCUGUUUUAGCAAAUGUAUUCUGUUUGUUGUGUAGUUGAUGAGCUCUCUCUUGACAAAUUAUCCAAGAUAUUUCAAAAGAGAUAAAAGACUUAUGAUUCUAUC